GACGAACGCUGGCGGCGUGCCUAAUACAUGCAAGUAGAACGCUGAAGGAGGAGCUUGCUUCUCCGGAUGAGUUGCGAACGGGUGAGUAACGCGUAGGUAACCUGCCUGGUGGCGGGGGAUAACUAUUGGAAACGAUAGCUAAUACCGCAUAACAGUAGAUAUUGCAUGAUAUCUGCUUGAAAGGUGCAAUUGCAUCACUACCAGAUGGACCUGCGUUGUAUUAGCUAGUUGGUGAGGUAACGGCUCACCAAGGCGACGAUACAUAGCCGACCUGAGAGGGGGAUCGGCCACACUGGGACUGAGACACGGCCCAGACUCCUACGGGAGGCAGCAGUAGGGAAUCUUCGGCAAUGGACGGAAGUCUGACCGAGCAACGCCGCGUGAGUGAAGAAGGUUUUCGGAUCGUAAAGCUCUGUUGUAAGAGAAGAACGAGUGUGAGAGUGGAAAGUUCACACUGUGACGGUAUCUUACCAGAAAGGGACGGCUAACUACGUG
rnacentral:rRNA from 1 species